rfam:Mus musculus chromosome 5, GRC primary reference assembly.
UCCCCCUGGCAAUCGGCAUAGAGAUACCUUAUUGGUGGUGGUGUUCUUAGUCAGGGGCAGAACAGAUGGCCGUUUUUUGUUAAUUCUAGCUUGAUGCCUGACUUGGUGGCCAAAGAUGUUUUAUGCCUAGGACACAUAA